rnacentral:rRNA from 1 species
GACGGAGGGGGCAAGCGUUGUCCGGAAUCACUGGGCGUAAAGCGCACGUAGGCGGGACGGUGCGUCGGUGCUGAAAGCGCCAGGCUUAACCUGGCGAGGCGUGCCGAUACGACCGACCUCGAGGCAGACAGAGGGUGGCGGAAUUCCGGGUGUAGUGGUGAAAUGCGUAGAGAUCCGGAGGAACGCCGGUGGCGAAAGCGGCCACCUGGGUCUGACCUGACGCUGAGGUGCGAAAGCGUGGGGAGCGAACAGG